rnacentral:tRNA from 1 species
AGGGUCAUAGUGUUAACGGCUAGCACGGCGGUCUCCAAAACCGCAAGUGGGGGUUCAAAUCCCUCUGACCCUGCCA